rnacentral:SRP_RNA from 2 species
GCUGGGUGUGGUGGCGGGCACCUGUAAUCCCAGAUACUUGGGAGGCUGAGGCAGGAGACUCUCUUGAGCCCGGGAGAUGGAGGUUGCAGUGAGCUGAAAUCAUGCCACUGCACUCCAGCCUGGGCAACAGAAUGAGAUUCUGCCUCCA